UGAGGAAUAUUGGGCAAUGCCCGCAAGGGUGACCCAGCAACGCCGCGUGGAGGAUGAAUGUCGUAAGAUUGUAAACUCCUGUUAGAGGGGAAGAAUAGUACCGGUUGGACCGGUAUAUGACUGUACCCUCAGAGAAAGCCCCGGCUAACUACGUGCCAGCAGCCGCGGUAAUACGUAGGGGGCAAGCGUUGUCCGGAUUUACUGGGUGUAAAGGGCGCGCAGGCGGGAUAAAAAGUCAGUGGUGAAAUCCUACAGCUUAACUGUAGAACUGCCUUUGAGAAUUUUAUUCUUGAGUUCGGGAGGGAGAGACGGAAUUCCAGGUGUAGUUGUGAAAUACGGAGAUAUCUGGAAGAACACCAGUUGCGAAGGCGGUCUCUUGGUCCGACACUGACGCUGAGGCGCGAAAGCGUGGGGAGCAAA
rnacentral:rRNA from 1 species